rnacentral:lncRNA from 1 species
UUAUUAUAGGCUCACCUUAGAGUACUUUAGGUUUCUGGAUUUCACAUGUUUUCUCCUGUCUGUUUGGGUUUACCCUUUUAUUCCAUCGUUAUUUCUAUCCCUAUCUUUUCUCUGUACUUGAGCCAUUUUCACUUUUCACAAAUUCUUUUACACAAUUAAACUCCCUGGUUUUGGGGUCCCUGAGUGGCUCAAUGGUUGAGUGUCUGCCUUUGGCUCAAGUCAUGAUCCUAGAAUCCUGGGAUUGAGUCCUGCAUCGGGCUCCCCACAGGAAACCUGAUUCUCCCUCUGCCUAUGUCUCUGUGUCUCUCAUGAAUAAAUAAAUAAAAUCUUUUUUAAAAAUUUAAAAAUUAACUCCCUGGUUUUUACCACUUUAUUAUCAUUUUUUUAAAUUCCUCUACAUGCCUAAGUCUAAUGCUUUUCCUUAAUUUUUAAAAUCCGUUCUCCCUUUCAAAGCUUAUGGGACUUUUGUUCCCUCUACCCAGCCACAGAACAGCAGGUGCAAAUGUUGGGAGACAGGAGGAAGCGCGGGAAGUGCCAGGAAGAGAGGAGGCAGCCAGGGUGGGGGGUGCACUGCAGGCGCCCAGGCAAACAGAAAUAAAUACAAAACAACACCAAGAACUUGCUGUUGGAGAAGUGCUUCGCCCUUAAUUAUUCUCAUCACUUCUCUCUGUGUUGGAAUAAUGUGGAUAAUUUUUGGCUCUGUGAUCAGAGAGCCCAGCCUCCAUGAUGUGAAAAGUCAGGUAUCUCUUCCUUCACCUCAUCGAGGCAGCCAGUUUCUGGUCCAAGGGAAUGCUCUCUAAAUGCUGGCAGGAAGGAGGGAAGGACAGGGAAGUAGGGAGAGAAGAAGCAGGGAUUUUUCUAGCCCUCUUUGUGAAUAGGCCUCCCCUGAGGGUAGGGAGGCAUCCCCUGUCCUACAGAGGGGCUGUGGUGCACAGCAGGGACACUGUCACCUGCCCUCUAAAACCAGCACCCUCUUCCUCACUCGGCUUCUCAGCUGUAUCUGGAUGGGACCACUGAACAGAGGAAUGGAUGCAUCACCUUGGGGGUGAAGGACAUAGGAACGGGGUGUCUUCUCCUUCAUGGGCCCCUGAAUGAUGGGAUGGGCCAGAGCUCCCGCUGGCCUCAUUGGCCUGUGUUAUGAGGAAGAAAUACACUUUAUCUUAUUGGAUAACACAUAUGGAGCCGGUUGUUAGAGCAAUUAGCUGACAUCGGCCAAAUCGGAAAUUGGCACCAGGGGUAUCCAUCUGUCCUCUGAGCUGGGCCCAUCCCAGCAAGGCGCAGGGCAGGAGGCUGGGGUGGCAGCACCAGGGUAGGUAAGGAGGCAACCGUACUCCUGGCUGCCCAUCACUGGGAAGCACAGAAGAAGGGCAGAAAGAUAAGAGAAGCAGGGCCGCGGGUAAAACCAGUCCUAGGGCAGCCACCCUGCCCACCAGGGGGAGCUACGAGGCCAAUGUCUAUGCAGCCUGCAGUGGGUACGGAGUGGAGACUCAGACUCCCCAAGCAGAACCCCUACACUACAAGCCUUGGAGGAGAAGGGAAAGAAAGAGCACAGGAAAGAAAGCACUGUACAUACCCAGCACCGUAGUGGCACAGACAUAUAUUAUCUUAUACUGAAAUCCCCGUACGGAGGUAUUACUCAUUCCAUUUUGCCAAGGUCGAGAUGACUGCCCAAGACCCACGCCUCAAGAGUGGCCCAACUGCUCAAGAGAGGUGCUCAAGAGAGCAGAUGGGCACCUGCUCUCUGAGACCACCCAAGGAGCACCAUUCUAUGUCCUUCAUGGUGUUGGAGGAGGUCACUGAGAGGACCUGACCGCUGACUGACCCACGAGUUGGACCUGGGCAGUGGAGGAUCUUUUCCCCUCCUCCCCUGCCUUUGGGUACACAUUGCCUGCGUCCCCACUGUGGAAGCCAUUUUCAAGGACAUAGGCUUGAGACAGCAAUAUGCUGUUGAGGCUACCCGGAUGGUAAGCAUGACUGAACUCUGUUAAGGCCUCUUAAAUAAACAUUUAAGAUUCCGGUGGAGAAAAAAAAAAAAAAAGAUUCUGGUGGAGAUCUAAGAGUCUUGUGGCGCCCAAGAUAGGCCUCGUACUGAAGCACCCUUAUUACACCUGCCACCUACCGAUCUGGAGUGGUCUGUCUCUUUCUUCCAUCUCUGUGCCCUCCUAAUGGGGCCUAGUUU